GGGGAUGUAGCGCAGUGGUAGAGUGCAUGCUUUGCAUGUGUGAGGCCCAGGUUCAAUCCCUGGCAUCUCCA
rnacentral:tRNA from 2 species